AUUGAACGCUGGCGGCAGGCUUAACACAUGCAAGUCGAGCGGAGCGAGGGUGCUUGCACCUUAGCUUAGCGGCGGACGGGUAGUAAUGCUUAGGAAUCUGCCUAAUAGUGGGGGACAACAUUCCGAAAGGAAUGCUAAUACAGCAUACGCCCUACGGGGGAAAGCAGGGGAUCUUCGGACCUUGCGCUAUUAGAUGAGCCUAAGGCGGAUUAGAUAGUUGGUGGGGUAAAGGCCUACCAAGGCGACGAUCUGUAGCGGGGCUGAGAGGAUGAACCGACACACUGGGACCGAGACACGGGCCAGACUGCGACGGGAGGCAGCAGGGGGGAAUGGUGGACAAUGGGCUGAAGCCUGAUCCAGCCAUGCCGGGUGUGUGAAGAAGGCCUUUUGGUUGUAAAGCACUUUAAGCGAGGAGGAGGCUACUUAGAUUAAUACUCUGGGAUAGUGGACGUUACUCGCAGAAUAAGCACCGGCUAACUCUGUGCCAGCCGCCGCAGUAAUAC
rnacentral:rRNA from 1 species